AGGAAAAGGCCAUCGGCCCAAAUUCCUCGCUCCUUCCACGCCACCUCUUGCCCUAUACUUAGUGGGGUAGUUUCUCGGCCAACCCGGCCAGCGAAGCAAGCGACCCAGCAGAGGUACUCACCAAAGCAAGGUGCCGAAAUCCUUGCGGCGGCCCCCGAGUCGCAUCCGGGGACCAGUUCCGGGGUGCCUCUAAAUCCCGGCGGGGAGCUGGAAGAGGAUUCACUCACAUGGGCUCUUCCGGCGCAAAGACAGGACCAAAGCCCGGCCGGGAUUCACCACGGCUCUGGUAUAAUUCUUUUAAGUUUCUGGCACAGAGCUCCUAAAACCCUAGGUAUCUUCUUAAAUGCUGAGAACAAUGAAACUUAUUUUGUUAUGAUGAUGAGGUGACUCUUGGAAAGCACCUAAGUAAAGAGGCCAGUUGCCUAAGGAGACAACCAUGUUAUUAGAGUUGGAAGUUUCCAUCCCAGCCUCAAGCCUCCUAAGGCGGAACAGGGGCUACAGGUUGAAUUAGUCAUCCAUGACGAAGGAGUUAAUCAAUCAUGCCUCUUUGGAUAAGCCUCCAUUAGUGCCUAAAAGAAGAAGCUUCCCAGAGCAUUCUGCUUCCAGAGUGCAACAUAGAAAUUCUUCCUGAGUUUCUAGCCCUCAGACUCAAGACUCCAACAUCAACUCUUACCUGAAUCUUCAGCUUGUCAGCUUGCCUUAAAGAUUUUAGGCUUUCUAGCACCCAUAAUUGUGUGAGCCAAUUUCAUUAAAAUCUAUGUGUGUA